AUAAUGAUACUAACAAUUAUCAUCAUCAAUAAUAAUAUUCUGUGCAGCUCUACAGCUAAUUUGAAACUCAUGUUCAUUUUAACAUAUUUCAUUUUAGACAACUACAAAGACGCCAUCAGGCUAAUUAAUCAAUAUCAGACCGGCUGCAAUGCCUCUGAGCUACAGUCUGAGGCAGAGCAGGAGGGAUAGCUGCCAGAGAAAUGAGUCAGGAAGCCAAUCCAUCGUUUUGGGGACUCUGAUGAGAGUGAAGAAGAGCCAGAAAAUUCGGCUGGUGUAUCAGUUGGAGCCUCAAGCCCAAACCAAUUACACUGGCAGACUCCACCAUCUCACUGAGUGCCAUGCAGCAGAGUCACUACUCCUCAACCUGGAGGAAACUGUCUAGGUAAA